UACGAAGGGGGCUAGCGUUGCUCGGAAUCACUGGGCGUAAAGCGCACGUAGGCGGAUUGCUAAGUCGGGGGUGAAAUCCUGGAGCUCAACUCCAGAACUGCCUUCGAUACUGGCGAUCUCGAGUCCGGGAGAGGUGAGUGGAACUCCGAGUGUAGAGGUGAAAUUCGUAGAUAUUCGGAAGAACACCAGUGGCGAAGGCGGCUCACUGGCCCGGUACUGACGCUGAGGUGCGAAAGCGUGGGGAGCAAACAGG
rnacentral:rRNA from 1 species